CAGAACCUUGUCAGGCUCUGCUUUAAAGUUCCUACCAUGUUGGCUCUGUAACUCAGGUGGAGAAGCCUAGACCAGGAGCUGGCGUAGACCAAAGGAUACUUGCCUAAUAAGGAUUAGCUUAUACUGAGGAAAAUACUUUAAGCAUUUAAAGUCCAGAUGAGGAAGUUGAGCCCAGAAUUCAGGGAACCAGCUCAAAGUGGGCCCAUGCAGACAGGCUGGGUCUAAGAGUCCACAAGGUUGGCCAGGGCAGGUAGGAUGCACAGGAGGCAUCUGGAUCUGGAAGUACUUGGACAGCUGAGGUCAAGAUCACACAGAAAUUUAUUCCUGGACAGCCAAGGUUUACAGGAGCAGAAAUAGCAAAUAUUUUCUUGCUCCGUCUCUCCCUUUUUUCCCAGUGCCCUUUUCUGUACCUACCCAGAUCACUUUAUACCUAGACAUCUGUCACAAUUUUGUAACUGGUCUUCGUCCAAAAUCUGUCUCCUCUUCUCAUGUAUCCUUGCCAUAUUAACCAUACUUACCAGUUUGAACCCAGUGUCCUGCCCUCCAAAAAUCCUUUGCACGGCCUACAAGAUAAAUCCUCACCCCCCGUGUGUGGUAUAUAAUGCCCUCUUUAGGCUGCUCCAACCUCCUGCUGCUCCUGACAGAAGCCUCCAUUGCACACAAAUGCUCUCUUGUCAUCCCUCAGACAUGCCUUUCCACAUCUCAGCCUGCAAACCUUUACCUUAGCUGUUCUAUCAGCCGGGGGCACCUUCUCUACUUACCUAAAGCCUACAUAAUCAGUCAGAAACCUGUGUAAAUUUCCCUUCCUUGGAGAGGUGUUCUCUUGAAAACUGAUAUGAAGUCAUAUCUUACCAUUUGUAAUCAUAAACAUAUUUGUUUGUGUAAGUUUUUAAAAAUGGACAAUAUCUAGACUUGUGGUAAAUCGUAUCACUGUCUUGAUCUAUUUAAAUAAUUUUUUAUCACUUUACCACUUUCUUGUUUCCUGAACCAGAUGACAAUGGAAAAAGUCAAAUGGUAAAAUAUUUUAAGAGAUUUAUUCUGAGAUAAAUAUGAGUGACCUGUAGGCACAGUUGACCAGCAUUUGCCUUAAAACAGAGACCUUAAGACUAACAAAAACAGACUCUUUGUAGCAAUAACAACAUGACAGUAAGUCCUGAGAGAAAUCAAAGUGUUUUACGCCAAAAUAGAUUUAAGUCUGAUAAGAAACAAGUCUGACACAGCCCCAGGAGAUCCUGAGAACAUGUGCCCAAGGUGGCUCUUGUCAGGAGCAGCAGCAGGUUGGGGCAGCCUAAAGAGGACAUUACCAAACACGGGAGUGAGGAUUUAUCUUGUAGGAAGUGCAAAGGAUUUUUGGAGGGCAGGACACUGGGUUCAAACUGACGAGUAUGGUUAACAUGGCAAAGGUACGUGAGAGGAAGAGACAAUUGUGCUGUCAGGCUACAGCUUGGUUUCAUGCAUUUUUACAUUUUAGGGGAAUGUAAGACAUCAAUACAUGUAAGAUUUACAUUGGUUCGAUGGAGAAAGGCAGGACAACUUGAAGCUGGUGGGGAAGGGACAGGGACAGAGGGAGGGCCUUCUGGGUUAUAGGUGGAUUCAAAGAUUUUCUGAUUGGCAGUGGGUUUAUCCAAAGACCUGGAAUCAAUAGAAGGGAAUGUCUGGGUUAAGAUAAGGUGUUGUGGAGACCAAGGUUCUUACUGUGAGAUGAAGCCAGAAGGUAGCAGGCUUCAGAGAGAAUAGAUUGUAAAUGUUUCUUAUCAGACUUAAGAGAAAUUUAUUUUAGGAUAAAAUACUUAGAUUUCUCUCAGGGCCUGUUAUCUGUCAUGUUAUCUUAUUGCUACAAAGAGCCUGUUUUUGUCAGUCUUAAGGUCUCUGUUUUAAUGUUAAUGCUGGUCCACUGUGCCUGAAUUCCAAAGAGAGGAAGGUAUAAUGAGGUAUGUCUGACCACCCAUUCCCAUCAUGGCCUGAGCUAGUGUUUCAGGUUUACUUUAGAAUGCUCUUGGCCAAGUGGAAGGGUCGAUUCAGUUGGUUGUGUGCUUAGAAUUUUAUUUUUGACUUACAUAGACUAUCAGCUGCUUCAUGUCACAUCUCAUGCUUCUCUUAUGUUGCCCAGUUUUCUCAGUGCUUCCGACUGCAUGUUUUUGUACUAUAUGAAAAGCCUUCUUUCUAGAAGACUACCAAUUAAAUAUUUCUUUAGAAAAAUGUAA
rnacentral:lncRNA from 10 species